GGGGGGGGGGGCAGAUAUUCAUAUGUUCGUGUUCUGCGCUUUUAAUUUCUUUUGAAAUCAAUUGUUUUUAUGGUCUGUGAACACGAAUAUAUGAAUAUCUGCCCCCCCCCCCCGAUUAU